rnacentral:lncRNA from 1 species
GAUGAACCUAUUGAUCUCUUCAUGAUUUUGUGAUCAUUGACAAGAAACAUAAAUCUGAAACUGAUACGAGAGAAGUGAAUUCUGGCUUUUUUUACAAGAGUGCAGAAAGAGAAAAACUCAUAAAAGCUGAAAGAAAAUUCAUUGAAGAUAGAGUUAAAACAAAUAAUAGAACUGAAAAGGAAAGUCUGUGGUGAUUCAGAUAAAGGAUUUGUUAUUAAUCAAAAGGGAAUUGACCCCUUUUCCUUAGAUGCUCUUUCUGACUCUUGCUUGUGGUGGGGUGGCCCUGAAUUCUUUUGAGGACCUAAGUCCUGACUGCUUGGGACAUGCAGGACUUGUAUAUGAGUAUACAUUGGGAGAAGUUCACCUUUAUUGAGAAGUGUAACAACCCUCGUUCUAUCACAUUAUUGAUCAAAGGACCAAAUAAGCCCACACUUAGAUCAAAGAUGCAGUAAGGGAUGGCUUGAGGGCUGUCAAAAAUGCUGUUGAUGAUGGCUGUGUGGUUCCGGGUGCUGGUGCUGUGGAAGUGGCAAUGGCAGAAGCCCUGAAUAAAUAUAAGCUCAGUGUAAAGGGCAAGGCACAGCUUGGAGUCCAAGCAUUUGCUGAUGCGUUGCUCGUUAUUCCCAAGGUGAGCCCGUGGUAGCAGCAGAAGCAGGCAUUAUGGGAUAACGAUUGUGUAAAGAAACAGCUUCUUCAUUCCUGCACUGAUUGCCACCAACAUUCUCUUGGUUGAUGAGAUCAUGCGAGCUGGAAUG